rnacentral:rRNA from 1 species
AGAUUGAACGCUGGCGGCAGGCCUAACACAUGCAAGUCGAGCGGCAGCACGGGUACUUGUACCUGGUGGCGAGCGGCGGACGGGUGAGUAAUGCCUAGGAAUCUGCCUGGUAGUGGGGGAUAACGCUCGGAAACGGACGCUAAUACCGCAUACGUCCUACGGGAGAAAGCAGGGGACCUUCGGGCCUUGCGCUAUCAGAUGAGCCUAGGUCGGAUUAGCUAGUUGGUGGGGUAAUGGCUCACCAAGGCGACGAUCCGUAACUGGUCUGAGAGGAUGAUCAGUCACACUGGAACUGAGACACGGUCCAGACUCCUACGGGAGGCAGCAGUGGGGAAUAUUGGACAAUGGGACGAAAGCCUGAUCCAGCCAUGCCGCGUGUGUGAAGAAGGUCUUCGGAUUGUAAAGCACGUUUAAGUUGGAGGAAGGCAGUUACCUAAUACGUAUCUGUUUUGACGUUACCGACAGAAUAAGCACCGGCUAACUCUGUGCCAG